GACGAACGCUGGCGGCGUGCCUAAUACAUGCAAGUAGAACGCUGAAGAGAGGAGCUUGCUCUUCUUGGAUGAGUUGCGAACGGGUGAGUAACGCGUAGGUAACCUGCCUGGUAGCGGGGGAUAACUAUUGGAAACGAUAGCUAAUACCGCAUAAAAUUGAUUAUUGCAUGAUAAUUAAUUGAAAGAUGCAAUUGCAUCACUACCAGAUGGACCUGCGUUGUAUUAGCUAGUUGGUGAGGUAACGGCUCACCAAGGCGACGAUACAUAGCCGACCUGAGAGGGUGAUCGGCCACACUGGGACUGAGACACGGCCCAGACUCCUACGGGAGGCAGCAGUAGGGAAUCUUCGGCAAUGGGGGGAACCCUGACCGAGCAACGCCGCGUGAGUGAAGAAGGUUUUCGGAUCGUAAAGCUCUGUUGUAAGAGAAGAACGGGUGUGAGAGUGGAAAGUUCACACUGUGACGGUAUCUUACCAGAAGGGGACGGCUAACUACGUGCCAGCAGCCGCGGUAAUACGUAGGUCCCGAGCGUUGUCCGGAUUUAUUGGGCGUAAAGCGAGCGCAGGCGGUUAGAUAAGUCUGAAGUUAAAGGCUGUGGCUUAACCAUAGUAUGCUUUGGAAACUGUUUAACUUGAGUGCAGAAGGGGAGAGUGGAAUUCCAUGUGUAGCGGUGAAAUGCGUAGAUAUGUGGAGGAACACCGGUGGCGAAAGCGGCUCUCUGGUCUGUAACUGACGCUGAGGCUCGAAAGCGUGGGGAGCAAACAGGACUAGAUACCCUGGUAGUCCACGCCGUAAACGAUGAGUGCUAGGUGUUAGGCCCUUUCCGGGGCUUAGUGCCGCAGCUAACGCAUUAAGCACUCCGCCUGGGGAGUACGACCGCAAGGUUGAAACUCAAAGGAAUUGACGGGGGCCCGCACAAGCGGUGGAGCAUGUGGUUUAAUUCGAAGCAACGCGAAGAACCUUACCAGGUCUUGACAUCCCUCUGACCGCUCUAGAGAUAGAGUUUUCCUUCGGGACAGAGGUGACAGGUGGUGCAUGGUUGUCGUCAGCUCGUGUCGUGAGAUGUUGGGUUAAGUCCCGCAACGAGCGCAACCCCUAUUGUUAGUUGCCAUCAUUCAGUUGGGCACUCUAGCGAGACUGCCGGUAAUAAACCGGAGGAAGGUGGGGAUGACGUCAAAUCAUCAUGCCCCUUAUGACCUGGGCUACACACGUGCUACAAUGGCUGGUACAACGAGUCGCAAGCCGGUGACGGCAAGCUAAUCUCUGAAAGCCAGUCUCAGUUCGGAUUGUAGGCUGCAACUCGCCUACAUGAAGUCGGAAUCGCUAGUAAUCGCGGAUCAGCACGCCGCGGUGAAUACGUUCCCGGGCCU
rnacentral:rRNA from 1 species